rfam:Picea glauca, whole genome shotgun sequence.
AUGCCCUUAGAUGUUCUGGGCCGCACGCGCGCUACACUGAUGCAGUCAAUGAGUUUUUCUCCCUGGUUCGAGAGGAUCAGGAAAUCUUCUCAAAUUGCAUCGUGAUGGAGAGUGUGGGCGAGGCUUUGGUUCCAUGACGGG